CGUAUACGUGGGAUACUACNUUAGAAAUAGGUGCUAAUACCGCAUAAGCGCACAGCUUCGCAUGAAGCGGUGUGAAAAACUCUGGUGGUAUACGAUGGUUCCGCGUCUGAUUAGCUAGUUGGUGGGGUAAUGGCCUACCAAGGCAACGAUCAGUAGCCGGCCUGAGAGGGUGAACGGCCACAUUGGGACUGAGACACGGCCCAAACUCCUACGGAAGGCAGCAG
rnacentral:rRNA from 1 species